GGCUGUUUCCUGUGUAGGCUCUGGUUAUGCUAAUACUAGGGAUAACGAAGAGAUGGGCCCUGGGAUCUCCUCCAGAACAGACAGAGUCUGGUGCAAUAUCUUUCUUUCUCAUCCAGUGACUUCAAAUGGAGAAUUAUUGAGAAUCUGUCCACGUGGGAUGUUAACCAGGGCCACCUAGCAGCAAAUGCCCAGGCUGCUUCCAGGACUGAUAUUAUGAAGCUUACAGCAGAGCGACUUGCCAUCAGGAAGGCUCCUGUCUGCCAAGACGCCAGCACGCCCUGCCACCAGCAAUAAUUGCCAACAAGAAUAGCAGACCGUGUAAGAUAAGAAAGAUUGUAAGCUGUUCAGCCAACUAGAAUCGUCUGUGCUAAUGACUGGCAGGCAUCACAGGUUCCUUAUUUCAUGGGACAACCAUCAGAAGCACCAUCUCAGAUGUGCUUGCCAUGAGGAUCAAAUGAGAUGCCAUGAGAAGAUGACACAAGACGUCCAAGCUCUGGGAAGCUGCUGUGAAAUCCAUACAGGGACAGGGAAGCUGUCAGAGGGAAUUUGGGGGCUAAUACUAGCCAGAAGCCAUACAGUGUAAAAGGAUGCUCUGACAGGCAGCUGACAGUGAGCAGCUCUGCACGGGGACGUUAGUUAAGAGGGCUUGUGGACUUAUAUUUUGUUUCAUCUGUGGAGGGAGGGGUAUGUAUGUGUGAGAGCAAGCAUGUGUGUGCUGCAGGAUGCUAAGGGCAGAGGACAGCCUCGGGUGUCAACAGUCUCCUUUCACUGUCUCUGAGACAGGGUCUCUGCUGUUUGCCUGUUUGCACAGGCACCAGGGUAACUGGGAGCUACGGGGAAUUCUCUCAUCUGCACUUCCCACCCAUCCCUCCACAGAAGCACCGAGAGUGCAGAGGUGUGUACUAUCUCAUGAGGUUCACAACGGGUUCUAGGGACCUAAUGUCAUGUCCUCAUGCUUGCAUGGCAAGGGCUUUACCUAUCUCCGGAGCCCUUGAAGCAUAUAUUUUAAUUGUUAC
rnacentral:lncRNA from 1 species